rnacentral:rRNA from 1 species
AACGUAGGUUCCGAGCGUUAUCCGGAUUUACUGGGCGUAAAGCGCGCGUAGGCGGACCUGCAAGUCGGGGGUGAAAGCCCGAGGCUCAACCUCGGAACUGCCUUCGAUACUGCGGGUCUCGAGUCCGGGAGAGGUGAGUGGAAUUCCUAGUGUAGAGGUGAAAUUCGUAGAUAUUAGGAAGAACACCAGUGGCGAAGGCGGCUCACUGGCCCGGUACUGACGCUGAGGCGCGAAAGCGUGGGGAGCAAACAGG